rnacentral:rRNA from 2 species
GGUGCUUGCAUCAUGAUUUACAUUUGAGUGAGUGGCGAACUGGUGAGUAACACGUGGGAAACCUGCCCAGAAGCGGGGGAUAACACCUGGAAACAGAUGCUAAUACCGCAUAACAACUUGGACCGCAUGGUCCGAGUUUGAAAGAUGGCUUCGGCUAUCACUUUUGGAUGGUCCCGCGGCGUAUUAGCUAGAUGGUGGGGUAACGGCUCACCAUGGCAAUGAUACGUAGCCGACCUGAGAGGGUAAUCGGCCACAUUGGGACUGAGACACGGCCCAAACUCCUACGGGAGGCAGCAGUAGGGAAUCUUCCACAAUGGACGAAAGUCUGAUGGAGCAACGCCGCGUGAGGUGAAGAAGGGUUUCGGCUCGUAAAACUCUGUUGUUAAAGAAGAACAUAUCUGAGAGUAACUGUUCAGGUAUUGACGGUAUUUAACCAGAAAGCCACGGCUAACUACGUGCCAGCAGCCGCGGUAAUACGUAGGUGGCAAGCGUUGUCCGGAUUUAUUGGGCGUAAAGCGAGCGCAGGCGGUUUUUUAAGUCUGAUGUGAAAGCCUUCGGCUCAACCGAAGAAGUGCAUCGGAAACUGGGAAACUUGAGUGCAGAAGAGGACAGUGGAACUCCAUGUGUAGCGGUGAAAUGCGUAGAUAUAUGGAAGAACACCAGUGGCGAAGGCGGCUGUCUGGUCUGUAACUGACGCUGAGGCUCGAAAGUAUGGGUAGCAAACAGGAUUAGAUACCCUGGUAGUCCAUACCGUAAACGAUGAAUGCUAAGUGUUGGAGGGUUUCCGCCCUUCAGUGCUGCAGCUAACGCAUUAAGCAUUCCGCCUGGGGAGUACGGCCGCAAGGCUGAAACUCAAAGGAAUUGACGGGGGCCCGCACAAGCGGUGGAGCAUGUGGUUUAAUUCGAAGCUACGCGAAGAACCUUACCAGGUCUUGACAUACUAUGCAAAUCUAAGAGAUUAGACGUUCCCUUCGGGGACAUGGAUACAGGUGGUGCAUGGAUUGUCGUCAGCUCGUGUCGUGAGAUGUUGGGUUAAGUUCCCGCAACGAGCGCAACCCUUAUUAUCAGUUGCCAGCAUUAAGUUGGGCACUCUGGUGAGACUGCCGGUGACAAACCGGAGGAAGGUGGGGAUGACGUCAAAUCAUCAUGCCCCUUAUGACCUGGGCUACACACGUGCUACAAUGGAUGGUACAACGAGUUGCGAACUCGCGAGAGUAAGCUAAUCUCUUAAAGCCAUUCUCAGUUCGGAUUGUAGGCUGCAACUCGCCUACAUGAAGUCGGAAUCGCUAGUAAUCGCGGAUCAGCAUGCCGCGGUGAAUACGUUCCCGGGCCUUGUACACACCGCCCGUCACACCAUGAGAGUUUGUAACACCCAAAGUCGGUGGGGUAA